GACGAACGCUGGCGGCGUGCUUAACACAUGCAAGUCGAACGGAAAGGCCCUGCUUUUGUGGGGUGCUCGAGUGGCGAACGGGUGAGUAACACGUGAGUAACCUGCCCUUGACUUUGGGAUAACUUCAGGAAACUGGGGCUAAUACCGGAUAGGAGCUCCUGCUGCAUGGUGGGGGUUGGAAAGUUUCGGCGGUUGGGGAUGGACUCGCGGCUUAUCAGCUUGUUGGUGGGGUAGUGGCUUACCAAGGCUUUGACGGGUAGCCGGCCUGAGAGGGUGACCGGCCACAUUGGGACUGAGAUACGGCCCAGACUCCUACGGGAGGCAGCAGUGGGGAAUAUUGCAAAAUGGGCGGAAGCCUGAUGCAGCCACGCCGCGUGCGGGAUGACGGCCUUCGGGUUGUAAACCGCUUUCGCAUGUGACGAGGCGUGAGUGACGGUAAUGGGUAAAGAAGCACCGGCUAACUACGUG
rnacentral:rRNA from 1 species